UGGGGAAUUUUGGACAAUGGGCGCAAGCCUGAUCCAGCCAUGCCGCGUGUGGGAAGAAGGCCUUCGGGUUGUAAACCACUUUUGUCAGGGAAGAAACGGCUCUUACUAAUAUUAGGAGCUAAUGACGGUACCUGAAGAAUAAGCACCGGCUAACUACGUGCCAGCAGCCGCGGUAAUACGUAGGGUGCAAGCGUUAAUCGGAAUUACUGGGCGUAAAGCGUGCGCAGGCGGCUUUGCAAGACAGAUGUGAAAUCCCCGGGCUCAACCUGGGAACUGCAUUUGUGACUGCAUGGCUAGAGUACGGUAGAGGGGGAUGGAAUUCCGCGUGUAGCAGUGAAAUGCGUAGAUAUGCGGAGGAACACCGAUGGCGAAGGCAAUCCCCUGGACCUGUACUGACGCUCAUGCACGAAAGCGUGGGGAGCAAACA
rnacentral:rRNA from 3 species